GCUGGGGUAGGCUAGCUUGGUUAGACUGGGGGACUGUGGAUCCCCCGACGUGGGUUCAAAUCUCGCCCCCGGCC
rfam:Methanogenic archaeon ISO4-H5 chromosome, complete genome.